rnacentral:rRNA from 1 species
AGUGAACGCUGGCGGCGUGCCUAACACAUGCAAGUCGAACGAGAACGGAUAUUAGCUUGCUAAUAUUGUCAGCUAAGUGGCGCACGGGUGAGUAAUAUAUAGUUAAUCUGCCCCAAAGAAGAGAAUAAUUGUUGGAAACGACUUGUAACGCUCUAUAUGCCUUUAUCACAUAAGUGAGCAAGGGAAACAUUUAUGGCUUUGGGAUGAGACUGUACAGUAUCAGUUAGUUGGUGAGGUAAUGGCUCACCAAGACAAUGACACUUAACUGGUUUGAGAGGAUGAUCAGUCACACUGGAACUGAGACACGGUCCAGACUCCUACGGGAGGCAGCAGUGGGGAAUAUUGCACAAUGGAGGAAACUCUGAUGCAGCAACGCCGCGUGGAGGAUGACACAUUUCGGUGCGUAAACUCCUUUUAUAUGAGAAGAUAAUGACGGUAUCAUAUGAAUAAGCACCGGCUAACUCCGUGCCAGCAGCCGCGGUAAUACGGGGGGUGCAAGCGUUACUCGGAAUCACUGGGCGUAAAGAGCAUGUAGGCUGGUUUGUAAGUUGGAAGUGAAAUCCUAUGGCUUAACCAUAGAACUGCUUCUAAAACUGCAGACCUAGAGUAUGGGAGAGGUAGAUGGAAUUUCUGGUGUAGGGGUAAAAUCCGUAGAGAUCAGAAGGAAUACCGAUUGCGAAGGCGAUCUACUGGAACAUUACUGACGCUGAGAUGCGAAAGCGUGGGGAGCAAACAGG